GAAAGAGAGCCGCGCGGUGUCGUGCCCUGUCGCCUGACGACGGAGGCGGCACCGUGAGCUGCGUGCGGCGGGGCGUCCACGGAGGCGGCGAGUUUGGCCCCUCGGUCUGCACACAGCGGCGACGUGGGGGUGGCGAGCUGGCCCCUUCAAACCAUCCAAGUGCCAAGUAAGUUGGGUUUCGAGGUCAAAUUCCCCAUCCAAAAAACGCAAGAAAAAUGCCCGCGCGCCAACUCCGCCGCCGCCACCACCUCACCAUCGCCGCCGCUGCCGCCGCUAAAUCCCACGCCACGCUGCUCAAGUCCGGCGUCACCUCCCCGACGCCCUGGAACCAGCUCCUCACCGCCUACUCGCUCUCCCCGCUCGGCCUCGCCGCCGCGCGCCAGGUGUUCGACCAAAUCCCCCACCCGGACGCCGCCUCCUGGAACUCCCUCCUCACCGCUUAUGUCUCCGCCGGGGCGCACCCCGCCGCGUGCAGCCUCCUCCAGGCCAUGCACGCCCGGGGGCUCGCCGCAAACACCUUCGCCCUCGGCCCUGCUCUCCACUCCGCUGCUGCCAUGGGCUGCCCUGCUCUCGGCACCCAGCUGCACUCGCUCAUCGUCAAAGCUAGCCUGGCCGACAAUGUCUUCGCUGCGACCGCAUUGCUUCACAUGUAUGCUAAGUGUGGCCGCACGAGCGAUGCCCGUCGGGUGUUCGAUGGAAUGCCGGAGCGGAACACUGUUUCUUGGAACGCCCUCGUUGCUGGUUAUGUGGAGUCUGGGAAGGUUGCUCCAGCAGUUUGGCUGUUUGUUGAGAUGGAGAGGGAGGGGUUGCUUCCUGAUGAGGCAACAUUCGCGGCGUUGCUCACAGCGGUCGAUGACUCCAGUCAUUUCUUGAUGCAUCAGCUGCAUGGGAAGAUUGUCAAAUAUGGAUCGGCAUUGGGUUUGAUAGUGUCGAAUGCAGCAAUCACUGCCUACUCACAAUGUGGGGCCCUGGCAAAUUCUAGAAGGAUCUUUGAUGAAAUUGGGAACAGAAGGGAUUUGAUCUCAUGGAACGCAAUGCUUGGAGCUUACGCUUCCCAUGGGAUGGAGCAUGAGGCGAUGGGAUUCUUUGCUAACAUGAUGCGAGCGGGUGGAGUGCAGCCUGACAUGUAUAGUUUCACAAGUAUCAUAAGUGCGUGCGCAGAGCAUCGUGAUCACGGAGGGACAGUAAUUCAUGGUUUGGUGAUCAAGAAGGGCUUUGAAGGAGUCACACCUGUUUGCAAUGCUCUAAUUGCCAUGUACACUCGAUUUAGUGAGAACUGCAUGAUGGAAGAUGCAUAUAAGUGCUUUGAUUCCUUGCUGCUCAAGGACACCGUCUCCUGGAAUUCUAUGUUAACUGGGUAUUCGCAGCACGGCUUGAGCGCUGAUGCCUUGAGAUUCUUCAGAUGUAUGCAGUCAGAAAUUAUUAGAACUGACGAGUAUGCAUUCUCUGCUGCCCUGCGUUCAUGCUCAGACCUUGCUUUACUUCGGCUAGGUAGACAAAUACACGGUUUAGUCAUCCAUUCUGGUUUUGCUUCCAACAAUUUUGUUUCCAGCUCGCUGAUCUUCAUGUAUUCUAAGAGCGGCAUUCUGGAUGAUGCAAUGAAGUCUUUUGAGGAGGCAGAUAAGACUAGCUCUGUGCCCUGGAACUCUAUGAUGUUUGGUUAUGCGCAGCAUGGACAGGCGCAGGCCGUGCGCAACCUUUUCAAUGAGAUGCUGGAGCUUAAGGUUCCUUUGGAUCAUAUUACAUUUGUUGGCCUGAUUACUGCAUGCAGUCAUGCUGGUCUUGUAGACGAAGGUUCAGAAAUCCUCAAUACCAUGGAAACUAGGUAUGGAAUUCCUCUUCGGAUGGAGCAUUAUGCAUGUGGCAUUGAUCUUUAUGGGAGGGCUGGGCAGCUUGACAAAGCAAAAGAGCUUAUUGACUCUAUGCCAUUUGAACCAGAUGCCAUGGUGUGGAUGACCCUAUUAGGUGCUUGCAGAAUCCAUGGGAAUAUGGAACUAGCGAGUGAUGUGGCCAGCCAUCUGUUGGAGGCAGAACCUAGACAGCACUCCACCUAUGUUCUCCUCUCCAGCAUGUAUUCUGGUCUUGGGAUGUGGAGUGAUAGAGCAAUAGUGCAGAGGGAAAUGAAGAAUAAAGGAUUAAGCAAAGUCCCUGGUUGGAGCUGGAUCGAGGUGAAGAAUGAGGUGCACUCUUUCAAUGCACAGGAUGGGUCGCACCCAAAGAUGGAGGAAAUAUAUGAGAUGUUGAGUUUGUUGGUUCAAAAUUUUCCCAUGCAGCUGCUGCGUCAAGAAACAAGUGGAGCCAUCGACUUCUAACUAUCAAAUUAUGGGCAUUAACCAGCCAGCCCCUGUUGGAGAUGAUUGAGCACACUUCUCUUGUAUAUUCUGUGGAUGCACAUUCAUCUGCUCUGAUUGCUAGUGGCAGUGAAGACCGCUGUGUCAAUAUAUGGAAGACAAGAAUAGCAGAGGGAGAGAGACAAUGCUAGCUGGAAGAUCAUUAUGUAAACAAGAAACUUCAUUCUAGGUGGAAGGGAAGCCUCCCUCCUGCUGUUUGGAGCUUUUGAAUGCAAUUUUGCUGCCGCGCCAUGAAAUGAAGUUCAAUAUUUUGACAGUUUUGGCAAAGAAAAGUUUAUGUACUCUGUAUUUAGCUGAGCUUGUGUACGCUGCAUGCAGAGUAUCUGUGACUGAAGAAUUUGCAAACAUGAAUACAUAAUGGCAGGGAGUCCUCUGUGUCUA